CCCAUUGUUCUCCUCCGAGCUGAGGGAGAUGCCUUCUCCGCACCCCGCCUCCCCUGACGCCCAGCUCUGCACGCUGGGGAGCAAACGAAAGACAAAUAAACCCUUCCCGUCUCUCCUUGUCCAGCUCACAAAGAGCUCUCAGUGCCUCACAAGGUCCUGCAGUGCCCAGGCUUUCGAGCUUGUUGUCCCCUGUUCACAGAUGUGGAUGUUGAGGCCCAGAGGAAAGUGGCUUAUUUGACGUCCAUACAGAAAAGUGGCACAGCCAGAACUAGAUCCCCAGUCCCAUGUCCAGUAUUGGAACAGAGACUCAUGGCAUCUCCCACAGACAGCUCCACACGCCGAGGACACAGCCUGAGGGGAGAGGCAGGCAGGCCGGGGCCUGGACUGCACUCCUCAGCAGCCAGGUGGUGACAGCGGGUUUUUUCCCCUCCCUAGAUGAGCUUCACCUCCAAGGUAACUAGAGCAGAAGUCCUCAGCUUGUCUUCUCCCCAGGUCCUGACUGGGGCAGUCAACACCGUUCAGUCCUUCCUCGUUGGGUCAGCAUAGGAAGUUGUUGAGUUGGAGGGCGGGGACCCUGAGCCUGGAGACCUCUUCCUGUUUGGGCUAAUGUUCCCCACCAGAUGCUGGUGCCCACGUGGGCAUGUCUUGCAGCCACGGAGAGAUGAUCCAUUCCAGGGCAAGAAUCCAGGUGGCCACCGGCUGCCCCUGCUUCUGCGCUCUCACCAAGGUGUAUCCAAACCGGCAGUGCCCGCUGCUGCGCUCCGGCUCGUGUGCUGCGUGGACUCAGUGGUGUGGACCCGCCUCCCUAGUACCCUGCACGCAGCAACAGCGUGCACUUCACGUGGCACCUACUGGGCCUAGAGCUCAGCCUGGAUGCCCUGCAAAUGGACUCGAGUCCCCUUCGCUUGGUGUCCGUGGCUGCGGACUUGACCGUGUGGACUGCCCUCGACCUCAGGCCCUCCCGCGUGGGUAUGGGGCCUUCAGAAAUGGUCAUUAAAUUUUUCUAGAGUUGAAGGCCGGUUUCACCGCCCCUCUAUUUUGUCUCCAUCUCUGCCCAUGGCCUGCAGUGGGCUCUUAUGUGCUCUUGGACCGACCAGCCUUCCUGAAAUUCCAUCACUUGCAGGAAGCCCCCUGGCUUCCAGGUGAGAACCCAGGACAUAGGCCCAGAUUUUGUAGGAAAAGCGAAGCAGGUAGAGGAAGCGUCGUUGGUCUCUGAAGCCGGUCUCCCUGUGCGGAGCUCUAGGACCCCCGCCUUCCAGCACAGCCUUCUCUUCAGUCCCCCUCUUUCCUUCCACUGAGUGGGUGAGCAUCCGUGCUUGUGUGUGGAAUGAGCAGAGCCCCUAGAGCCGGAUCCACGGGGCCAGGUGGGGUGGGGGGCGAGGGCGGA
rnacentral:lncRNA from 1 species